rnacentral:rRNA from 1 species
AUUGAACGCUGGCGGCAGGCCUAACACAUGCAAGUCGAACGAGCGGCGGACGGGUGUGUAAUGUCUGGGAAACUGCCUGAUGGAGGGGGAUAACUACUGGAAACGGUAGCUAAUACCGCAUACCCUAAGAUGUGUCCAGAUGGGAUUAGCUCGUAGGUGGGGUAACGGCUCACCUCGGCGACGAUCCCUAGCUGGGCUGAGAGGAUGACCAGCCACACUGGAACUGAGACACGGUCCAGACUCCUACGGGAGGCAGCAGUGGGGAAUAUUGCACAAUGGGCGCAAGCCUGAUGCAGCCAUGCCGCGUGUGUGAAGAAGGCCUUCGGGUUGUAAAGCACUUUCAGCGGGGAGGCGUUACCCGCAGAAGAAGCACCGGCUAACUCCGUGCCAGCAGCCGCGGUAAUAC